rnacentral:rRNA from 1 species
GACGAACGCUGGCGGCGUGCCUAAUACAUGCAAGUAGGACGCAGUUGCGAACGGGUGAGUAACGCGUAGGUAACUACCUAUUAGAGGGGGAUAACUAUUGGAAACGAUAGCUAAUACCGCAUACUAGUAGAUGGACCUGCGUUGGAUUAGCUAGUAGGUAGGGUAAUGGCCUACCUAGGCAACGAUACAUUGCCGACCGGAGAGGGUGAUCGGCAAAACGUGGAAUGGAAGACGGCCCAGAAUCCUACGGGAGGCAGCAGUAGGGAAGCUUCGGGAAAGGGGGGAAGCCUGACCGAGCAACGCCGCGUGAGUGAAGAAGGUUUUCGGAACGUAAAGCUCUGUUGUUAAGGAAGCGGUAAUUAACCAGAAAGGGACGGCUAACUACGUGCCAGCAGCCGCGGUAAUAC